rnacentral:tRNA from 1 species
GGGAAGGUAGCUCAGUGUUAGAGCGCUUGCCUUGUAUGCAUGAGGCCCUGGUUCGAUUCCUCAGCACCA